rnacentral:sRNA from 10 species
UUUUCAAAAAAAGAAAAAACCAAAAGAGCAUUUUCGUUCUUUUGGUUUUCCAAAUUUUACAUUUGUAUUAGAUCUGGGGAGCAGAAAUUUUGAAUAAUGUCAUCAUCAGCUCGGCUGUCCGAUCUCAAAUCCAUAAUUAACGAACUGCUGGAGGUUAAGGGAUGUAGCGCCAGUCCGUUGUGUGAUGGAAACUUGUUCGUUUAGAGCGCCACUAUAUUUGGCCCCGAUGAGACUCACUGGGGAGAGUUGAUGCUUGAGAAUGAAAAUAGUGAAGGGAAAGAAUCUCAUCUGUUACUACAUAUUUAAAGAGAUGGCAUUUCUUGCUGUUUUUAUGCGGAGUGGAUCAUCUCGAAAUCCUGUGAUCCUAGUUCCUUUCUAACUCAUGGAACAUAUAUACUUAGUUCUGUAUGAUCUCUCAAUUAUCAGUUGGUGGUUAAAUUGAUGGCAUACUUUUAGGUUUGCUUGUCAAGUAGGGUUGAAAUUUCAGUAGGAUAUAUUAUCCGUUGUUUGACUUUCUCUGUUAUUAUCAUCAGGCAGGAAGAUUCUGUUUUUUCUUUUAUUUAUGUGAGAAAUUCAGAUCAAAGAUCAUUGCUGCCAAUAUUUAUAUGAUUUUAGAAGAGAUAAGUAUUAGUAGAAUUGAGGACAUGUGGUGGAAAUGAAGAUUAUUUUGGAGUAUUAUGAAAAGAUCAAAAAGGAUGGUGCUACAAACAGCUUUCCAUUAAUGUGAUGCCUGUCUAUCUUUUGGCCUUGCAACAGUGUAAGCAAAAGAUAACAUCCUACAACAGGAUUCCAAAAAAGAGACAAAUUGAUUAAUAGUAGAGGGAAAGAGCUUUUUUAUAUUUACUAAUUAGAGGUGGGAAAGAGCCAACCAUAAUCACGUCUACAAUCAGAAAAUGUGAUGUUUUGAGCUGAAGGACUAAAACAAGGGAAGAAAACAGGAAAUUAGACGUGUUAUUCACCGGCAAGUAACUUGAUGUACUUCUUGGUUUUGUGAUUCUGAAGACUUUUGUACAAUCAUGUUUACUAAGAAGAGUGAUGUUGUUCCUCACUAAUUAUCAUUGAUGUUAACCAAGUUAAUGAACUUAAAGGACUUUGCCCAAGUUGUUUAAUGUAUUCCCAUGUUGAACACUUUAAAAUAGCCUUCUAUCCCUAACAUUGGAGGCAUAUUUUCAGGA